rnacentral:lncRNA from 10 species
CAUGUUCAGCGUGGCAUUUCGGAAGGCUUGUCAGGGGUGGAGAAGCGGGGCGGGUUGCUGUUCUUUCACCUGACACUAAAGCGCCAUGCCGGAAGCACUGAGUCUGAUACGUCGGAACCAGUCUCCACCGUGUGGUUUGGUCUUGAUUUCCACUGGUACUCUGGGGUCUUGGAUAAGUCUCUGGACCUCGCCUUUGUCAUUUGCGAAGUCGAUAGGUUCCAAUAGAGAUUUUCCCAGAAUCAUUCAACUAAAAAUAGAGAACUUUUUUUUUUUGAGAGGAAGGACGGGGGCGCAGUUAAAGAUGUUAAUGUUAAGUCAUCCCUUCUGUGAUUUCGGGACAUUAUCUUUGCACGCCAUGUGAAGAUGUGCUUGCUUCCUUGUCACCUUCCGCCAUGAUUGUAAGUUUCCUGAGGCCUCCCAGGAAGCAGAAGCCUGUACAGCCCACAGAACCAUGACCUGAUGAAAUCUCUUUUCUUUAUAAAUUACCCAGUCUCAGAUCUUGCUAUGCUUGUCAUUGUGUAAGCAGCAAACUUGCAGUGACCAGUUGGAUUCCACCCCCCUGAUGUUGGUGGUGUGCUCUUGGGGAGAUGUCUUCCAGACAGGCAAAGAAGAGUGACAUCAUCAGAGCAUGGACGACCUCAAAGAUAUUCCAGCUAUGCUCCAGAGAGAGCCAUCCUGAUGGAACCUACUGACCAGGGGGACACAAAAGAAAAGAGGGAGGAGAUGAAAGAAGGUGAGGGUCUCUAUUGCCAGCAGAACUGGACUGUGUGUUUAACUGGAAAGCUGAUGGAGAAUGUAGUUAGGCACAGCUCUCUGGACCCUUCUAGUGAAAUAAAGAACUAGUUAAAUAAGGCAAGACAGAAGAAUGAGGCUGCCAUCUAGAUGUAGUAACAGGUAAUGUUCCAGGGCACAAGGGAGCCAAAGGAAGAGAGUUUCUUCACUUUUUAUUCUCUGCAGUCUUCAUACAUAAUAAUGAUCUCAUUCCUCUAUAUUAGUCAAGAUCUUCCCAUUAUAAGUGACGAAUUAUAACCAGAUUAAACCAAAAAGUAAAAUAAUUUAUUGACUGAUUGAUAUGGUUUGGAUUUGUGUCCCCGCCCAAAUCUCAUGUAGAAUUGUAAUCCCCAGUGCCAGUUGGAGGUGGGUCCUGGUGGGAGGUGAUGGGAUCAUGUGGGUGGUUUCUCAUGGUGUAACGCAAUCCACCUUGGUGCUGUCGUCACGAUGGUGAGUCCUCAUGAGAUCUGGUUGUUUCAAGGUGUGUGGCACCUCACCUCUCUCUCUCUCUUCUCCUGCUCCCACCACGUGAGGCACCUCUCUCCCCCUUUGCCUUUUGCCAUGAUUGGAAACUUCCUGAGGCCUCCCCAGAAGCAGAAGCCCCUAUGCUUCCUGCACAGCCUGCAGAACCAGGAAACAAAAGGAGGGUGUUAGAGGAAAAAGAGGGAAACCCACUGACAGAGAGGAAGGCUGAAGAGAUCCCACCGCUGACUUGGACUAAGGAGAGAGAAGUCAAAGAGUGGUUACCUGGAUGAGGUGGCUGAAUAUGGGCCUGCUCUUGUCACUUUGGAUGUCACAACUAGCCUUGAGAAGAGCUGCUGUUCCAGGAGUCUGUCACAACUAGCCUUGAGAAGAGCUGCUGUUCCAGGAGUCUGUAGCCAAGGACGUACAGCAGUGGAGGCUGACUCAUCGCAUAGCUGAGUGACCAAUUGCUUGGCAUGAGUUUACUUUAAUGGCUGUUUCUGAGUUUGAUCCCUCUCCGGAACCAACCCCUCUGAUGUGUCCUGUUCCAGCAGGAAGAGACAGACCUGGAGGUUCUGUACUUGUGAUUUCUGGUUGUGGAUCCUGAGAACAAGAAGUACUGGGAUCCUAAAGUUCUGACAUUUGCAAAGCAGAUUAAUGACCUACCACAUUCCAGAUCAUUUGGUGAUUUUGUGUGUGCGUGUGGGUGUGUGUGUGUGUGUGCCAAAUUCAAGGUGGUCCCAGCCUUUCUAGUCUUCUCUAACCUUUCUUCUCAGAAGUCGCACCUGUUCUGUCUUUCUAGGAUAUAAUUUUUUUUCUAUUAGCCUGGGUAACACCCCAACCAAUAAAGUUUGCAAUAUCCAAGCC